rnacentral:rRNA from 1 species
GAUGAACGCUGGCGGCGUGCCUAAUACAUGCAAGUCGAGCGAACUGAUUAGAAGCUUGCUUUUAUGACGUUAGCGGCGGACGGGUGAGUAACACGUGGGCAACCUGCCUGUAAGACUGGGAUAACUCCGGGAAACCGGAGCUAAUACCGGAUAACAUUUUCUCUUGCAUAAGAGAAAAUUGAAAGAUGGUUUCGGCUAUCACUUACAGAUGGGCCCGCGGUGCAUUAGCUAGUUGGUGAGGUAACGGCUCACCAAGGCAACGAUGCAUAGCCGACCUGAGAGGGUGAUCGGCCACACUGGGACUGAGACACGGCCCAG